UGGGAUGUCGCCAAGCGGUAAGGCAACGGUUUUUGGUACCGUUAUGCGGAGGUUCGAUUCCUCCCAUCCCAG
rnacentral:tRNA from 22 species